rnacentral:tRNA from 1 species
AUUGAGAUAGCUCAGUUGGUUAGAGCACUACACUUCCCAUGUAGUUGAAGAUAGACUGAAAAUCUAUUUUUUACA